GCUGAUGUAGCUUGAUUUAAAGCAUAACACUCGAGAUGUUAAGAUGGAUUUAAGAGGUCUCAUGAGCA
rnacentral:tRNA from 1 species